CAUUCAUCGGACACGUUGUCCAAAGGAACAAUUCGUGGCUAACCACAGCGUGAGUUACAUUUAAAGCAUUACAAAUCAUGUCUUUACAUUAGCGAUGAACUGUUUUAAUAUAUUUCUCUAUGUUAUAAAGAAACUAUGAACAUUUUACCGUUCAAACUGUUCGUAUCUGCGAUUACACGAUUUAAUUCAAGACAGAACCCGACGUGUGCAAGAAUAUUCAUAUUUUUAUUAUUAUAAAGAACUUUAACAGCUUUAUAUAUCUACGAACUGUUUAUCCGUAUUUUUAAUGGACUUUAAUUAUCAUUGAACACAUUGUAAAAUUGUAUUUAUAUUUGUAUU
rnacentral:lncRNA from 1 species